UGCAAGACCUUUACGGACACUGGA
rnacentral:piRNA from 1 species